rnacentral:lncRNA from 1 species
GUUUGGUCGUGGAGUCUUUGAUGCCACUGCCCCAUCGACCGGAAGUCGCUUUCUAGUUGGUACAUAAGCACAGAGUUAGAGUAAGCAAGGCUUGUCGGGUGGCAAGUGGUUUGAAGCACCUUGGUGGCAGUAAAUUCCUCAACCUUCCAGAUGUGUUGCUGUUUUAUGGUGUGGAAGGGACAGGCCCUGAAGAGAUGGCUCAAAUACGAAGAACCUCAUCAUCAGAUGGAAAGCCUUCACCAUAUGCCAAACAGAUGAAGCUUCCUUACUCAUCCUCCAAAACUUAGGUCUUUGACAGAGAGGACCGUCUGUGGUGAUCUUUCAGGAAGGUGAAAGGAAACUGACAAAGCAGGAUGCAACCUAAAAACUGACCUAGAUGGCACCAGUGAUGGUGUUGAGUGUCCUGAUACCCAUUAACCAGAAGAAGAAGCUAUUAUGUGCAUAUGAGCCCAAAGAAAAAUUAAGGAGAAG